rnacentral:rRNA from 1 species
UUAAGCAUAUCAAUAAGCGGAGGAAAAGAAACCAACAGGGAUUGCCUCAGUAACGGCGAGUGAAGCGGCAACAGCUCAAAUUUGAAAUCUGGCUCUUUCAGGGUCCGAGUUGUAAUUUGUAGAGGAUGUUUCGGGUGUGGCUCCGGUCUAAGUUCCUUGGAACAGGACGUCAUAGAGGGUGAGAAUCCCGUAUGUGACUGGUAGCCUAUGCUCAUGUGAAACUCCUUCGACGAGUCGAGUUGUUUGGGAAUGCAGCUCAAAAUGGGUGGUAAAUUUCAUCUAAAGCUAAAUAUUGGCCAGAGACCGAUAGCGCACAAGUAGAGUGAUCGAAAGAUGAAAAGCACUUUGGAAAGAGAGUUAAACAGUACGUGAAAUUGUUGAAAGGGAAGCGCUUGCAACCAGACUUGCAUGUAGCUGAUCAACCGGUGUUCUCACCGGUGCACUCAGUUGCGUUCAGGCCAGCAUCGGUUUCGACGGUUGGAUAAAGGCCUUGGGAAUGUAGCUUCUUUCGGGGAGUGUUAUAGCCCAGGGUGCAAUGCAGCCUGUCGGGACCGAGGACCGCGCUUCGGCUAGGAUGCUGGCGUAAUGGUUGUAAGCGACCCGUCUUGAAACACGGACCAAGGAGUCUAACAUCUAUGCGAGUGUUUGGGUGUCAAACCCAUACGCGUAAUGAAAGUGAACGGAGGUGAGAACCCUUAAGGGUGCAUCAUCGACCGAUCCUGAUGUCUUCGGAUGGAUUUGAGUAAGAGCAUAGCUGUUGGGACCCGAAAGAUGGUGAACUAUGCCUGAAUAGGGUGAAGCCAGAGGAAACUCUGGUGGAGGCUCGCAGCGGUUCUGACGUGCAAAUCGAUCGUCAAAUUUGGGUAUAGGGGCGAAAGACUAAUCGAACCAUCUAGUAGCUGGUUCCUGCCGAAGUUUCCCUCAGGAA